rnacentral:sRNA from 1 species
GAACUCCCUCACUUUCCGCUUCCCAGCGUUGGCGGGUUCCGGGACUGGUGGCUGCGGUAGCUCAUUGGCCUUUGGUCUCUUAGACGGUGGAGAAUAAUCAUCAUCUUGAAAAAGAAAAUGGUCAUUACUGGAAGAACCGUCUUAGAGUUACAGUCACCUCCUGGUCAAUUCCCAACAUUCAAAAGCUAAAGAAAUGGGCUCAGAGGAUGCUAUUUGAUUGGACUAUGUUGUAUCUCUGGAGAGCACAGCUGAGAUCAGACUGUGUGUGUAACUCCACUAGACUACGAGGGUGCUUCUGAUAAAGGUAAGAAAUGCAAAUUUGGCCUAAUAUACAAUGUUGCCUGGGGCAGCACUGGGUUGCUUCUACAGACACUUCUGUGUUAAUCAAGGGAAAUCUUAAGGGAAGGUGAAAAUGCUUCUAGAAGGCGACUGGACACCAACACCCUUGCUUGCUGCCUUUGGGCUCUUCCUCUAAGGCCAACAGUGACCUGAAAUUAUUGACUGGCUGGCAGUGCUAAUCAACUGGAGAAAAUGGUUCCAAGGUCAACAACAUCAGACAAAUUCAUUUUAGGACCUAUAUAUGUGCUUAGAAAGACAGAAGUGCUUUUGUAAAGGAUACUAUUUCAGAAAAACAUAAUCAUAGUAACAACUAAUGACGCUAUAAAAUGCUGAUGUGUUGAAUGCUACUUUAGAAAAACAUGUUCAAAUCUAGGAAAACAUUUGUGAUAGAAAACUAUCUAUCUAUCUAUCUAUCUAUCUAUCUAUCUAUCUAUCUAUCGGCAGGGUCUCAUUCUAUCGCCCAGGCUGGAGGGCAGUGGCAUGAUUAUAGCUCACUGCAACCUCGAGCUCCUGGCCUCAAAUGAUUCUCCUGCUUCAGCCUCCCAAAUAGCUAGGACCAACACACCUGGCUAUUUUUCUUUUAAUUUUUUGUAGGGACAGGGUCUCAUUAUGUUGCCCAGGCUGGUCUGAAACUCCUGGCCUCAAGUGAUCCUUCUGCCUCAGCCUCCCAAAGUGCGGAGACUAUAGGCAUGAGCCACGGGACCAGGACAGAAAACAAUUUUAAAAUGACAACCUCCCUGUGAAAUAAAACUUGACUGGCACCUGGGUUUGUAUUACUGUAAGGAUUAAAAAUGGUCAAGACACCCCAUAAAUAGAUUAAGGUUCCA